ACGAAGGGGGUUAGCGUUGUUCGGAAUCACUGGGCGUAAAGGGCGCGUAGGCGGCUUUGUAAGUCGGGGGUGAAAGCCUGUGGCUCAACCACAGAAUUGCCUUCGAUACUGCAUGGCUUGAGACCGGAAGAGGUUAGUGGAACUGCGAGUGUAGAGGUGAAAUUCGUAGAUAUCAGGAGGAACACCGGUGGCGAAGGCGGGUCUCUGGGCCGAAACUGACGCUGAGGAGCGAAAGCGUGGGGAGCGAACAGGA
rnacentral:rRNA from 1 species